GUACACUCCUGCGGGAGGCAGCAGUGGGGAAUUUUGGACAAUGGGCGAAAGCCUGAUCCAGCAAUGCCGCGUGCAGGAUGAAGGCCUUCGGGUUGUAAACUGCUUUUGUACGGAACGAAAAAGCUCCUUCUAAUACAGGGGGCCCAUGACGGUACCGUAAGAAUAAGCACCGGCUAACUACGUGCCAGCAGCCGCGGUAAUACGUAGGGUGCGAGCGUUAAUCGGAAUUACUGGGCGUAAAGCGUGCGCAGGCGGUUAUGUAAGACAGAUGUGAAAUCCCCGGGCUCAACCUGGGAACUGCAUUUGUGACUGCAUGGCUAGAGUACGGUAGAGGGGGAUGGAAUUCCGCGUGUAGCAGUGAAAUGCGUAGAUAUGCGGAGGAACACCGAUGGCGAAGGCAAUCCCCUGGACCUGUACUGACGCUCAUGCACGAAAGCGUGGGGAGCAAACAGGAUUAGAAACCCGAGUAGUCC
rnacentral:rRNA from 1 species